rnacentral:antisense_RNA from 1 species
UGGCGGGCGCCCCUCCUCCAGCCUCGCUGCCGCCUUGCAGUUUGAUCUGAGACUGCUGUGCUAGCAAUCAGGGAGACUCCGUGGGCGUAGGACCCUCCGAGCCAGGUGUGGGAUAUAAUCUCGUGGUGCGCCGUUUUUUUAAGCCCGUCGGAAAAGCGCAGUAUUCGGGUGGGAGUGACCUGACUUUCCAGGUGCCGGCCGUCACCCCUUUCUUUGACUCGGAAAGGGAACUCCCUGACCCCUUGCGCUUCCCAAGUGAGGCAAUGCCUCGCCCUGCUUCGGCUCACGCACGGUGCGCGCACCCACUGACCUGCGCCCACUGUCUGGCACUCCCUAGAGAGAUGAACCCGGUACCUCAGAUGGAAAUGCAGAAAUCACCGUCUUCUGCGUCGCUCACGCUGGGAGCUGUAGACCGGAGCUGUUCCUAUUCGGCCAUCUUGGCUCCUUAUUCUCAUUACCUUCUUGAGUUGUGGCUCAGACACUACAACAGAGCUCCGUCACCUCUUUCUAAAAGCUGGGAAAUGGUUAUUGUCAACGCCAGCCCCAUUUUGGAGGCACCUGGCUGCAGGGGACCACAGCUAGACCCGAGUCAUCCCUGGAGUCUCACACUUGAUCUUAGCCAAAAGGCCGAGAAGCGAUCAUCCCUGGAGUCUCUCUGAAUCUGCCGUGAUCCUGGGGGCUGCCCGAUUCGUGCAUUGUUCAUUGCUCAACUAAACUCCUUUAAAUUUAA